rnacentral:lncRNA from 1 species
AUUGCCCCGAAACCAAGAGAAAUACUCACCACUUCUACUUACCUAGACGAACAAAGUCACCAGAAAUUCGUAACACCCAAAUUAGAAAGGACAAAAAUAAAAAAUAUGGUAGAGAUUCAGAGGAUUAGGAAGAGAAAUUAUCGGCAGAGAACGAAAAAAAUCAAUAGAAAGAGGGAAGAACAAAAUUGGCGUCAAAAAAGUUUUGGGAAGAAAGAGAAAAAUUAAUGAAAAUAAAAAUAAAAUAAAACUAAUUAAUAUCCUAACCUCCUGCUAACCACCAAAUCUCGACUAACCCAUACCUUAAUCCUCAUCCAACAACCUCAGAAUCCCAAUUCCAAUCAAACUCUCCCAGACAACCGAGGCAAAAAUUAACACUCACGUUCGCACAGGGAUUCGAACACAGGACCUCCAAC